AAGAGACCCUCUACUGGUCCCGUCAGGGGAAAAUAAAUUGUUAACGUUCUAUUGGGACACCCUGUACAGUCGCAGUCUUGAGAUCCCAUAGGAUACACAUCUCAGUCUAACGCCCCGAGGGACAUACAUAUCAGUCUAGUGUUCUGCGGAAACACAUAUCAGUCUAAUGCUUCCGAAGGUGCACAAUAAAUUGGUGAUCCCGUGGGACACCUACAAGGUACACAUCCCAAUACAUUCUAACAAUUUUCCCCUCAAUACAUUCUAACAAUUUUCCCCUCAAUACAUUCUAACAAUUUUCCCCUCAAUACAUUCUAACAAUUUUCCCCUCAAUCCAUUCAAUCCAUCUUUCAAUUACUUCAAAACACAAAGUUCUUUCUUUCGACGUCCUAACAGUCAACUUAUUUUACUUUAGUCAUAUGUCUAUCAAUAAUAUGCUAAUAUAUCAGUCAAUCAAACUAUACAGUCAACACACCCCUCAGUUCAUCAGCACACAGUCAUACUUUAAACGUAACGUACACCCAAUCUAAACGAAAAUCACAAGUUCACAUCUGCAUCUCAUACAAACACAAUUUACAAUCUUCGUCCUGUCCACAUACACACACUUAUAUAUAUAUUCCAUGACAAUCACGAUAUACAUUCGACGUCAAGUCUACUUCAAUUCAUAUACAUUCAUAUAUAUUUUCAGUCAAUCCACAGUAUACAUUUAACACAUACAAUCCACAGUCAUAAGUGAAUCUAGUAGAAAAUCCCUUACCUUCAAGUUAGUUAAGCUCCUUAACCACGUUGAAGUCUAUGAAGAACGAACCUAAACAUUAAGACAAUUUCUCAAUAAUUCUCUUCAACGCAUCAAUCAUUUAAAUUCAACCCAAUGUGAAUCUUUUUACAACUUACCCAAAUCUUCGCGAAAGAAAUCGAGCAGUAGCUUUGCGAAGAGAUGAAGUGCGACGGAGAGACCGUAUACAGACGGCCGGAGAUUCGCGCGGCAGUGCAGACAACGGAAGAGAAGGGAUCGGCGGCGGCUGGCUUGGACGGCGAUUGUGAGCGGCGGACGUGGCGGUUACUGGUUCACACGGCGGCUCGGGCUUCGACGAAGACAGAACCGGCGAUGGAGAUGGCAGAUCGGCGCGCGGGACGACUGCUGCAAGGUUGCUUCGCGAAACGGAGAUGGAAACGGCAGAUCGGCGCACGGGCUGCAGCUGGGCUGCGGCGGGAAGAAAACGGAAGAGAAAGGAUCGGCGGCUGGCUGCGGCUGGGCUACGGCGGGAGGAAAACGGAAGGGAAAGGAUCGCGGCGGCUGGCUGCGGCGGGAAGAAAAUGGAAGUCGCGGCGCACGACGGAAGAAGGAAAUAGGGGUGGCGGUUGCUGCGGCUACGACGCAGAUCUGGACUGAGCAGCGGUCACGUGGGCGGCGACGGCUGCUGCGAACGGAAGAAGAAGAGGAGAAGGUCGACGGUUACUGGGCUGCGGACGGAGAGAAGGGGAAGGGUGCACGGGGAGGAAGGAGAAAAGAGAAAAGAAAAGAAAAAGGAAAAAGAAAAGAAAAGGAAAAAGAAAAACAAAAUAUAUAUAUUUCUUUUUCUUUUCUUUUUAUUUAAAUUAAAUAUAAAUAAAUAUAUAUAUAUAUAUAUAUAUAUAUAUAUAUAUAUAUAUAUAUAUAUAUAUAAAAUAAAAACAAAAUAUAUAUAUAUAUAUACCUUGGGGCAUUACAUUCUUCCCUCCUUAAGAAACUUUCGUCCUCGAAAUUAAUAAUUCUGAAAUAACUCCUGGAUAACGAGUCCUCAUCUCUUCCUCUCGCUCCCAUGUCGCCUCUUCCAUUCGAUGGUUCCGCCACAAAACUUUUACUAAUGGAAUGCUUCUAUUACGAAGCAUCUUUACCUCUCUAGCCAGAAUUUCCACAGGUUGUUCUACAUAGCUCAAAUGCUCAUCAAUCUCCAAGGGUUCAUAGUCUACUACAUGAGAUGUAUCGGCCACAUACUUUCUCAACAUCGAAACAUGGAAAACAUUAUGAACUGCAGAGAGAGAUGGUGGUAAUGCCAAGCGAUACGCCACAACACCACACCCUCUCUAAGAUCUCAAAUGGUCCAACAAAACGAGGACUUAACUUCCCUUUCUUCUCAAAAACGCAUAACACCCUUCAUAGGUGCUACCUUCAAGAAUACUUUUUCUCCCACAUCAAACUUAAGGUCUUUUUGCCGUACAUCUGCAUAACUCUUCUGUCUACUCUGCGCUGUUUGCAUACGUGCUCUAAUCUUUUGAAUAGUCUCAUUAGUAGACCGAACUAAUUCAAGUCCCAUCAACCUAUGUUCACCAACCUCACUCCAACAAACAGGGGUUCUACAACAUUUACCAUACAAAGCUUCAAAUGGCGCCAUACCGAUGGUAGCCUGGAAACUGUUGUUAUAAGCAAACUCCAUUAAAUGUAGAUGAGAGUCCCAACUACCUAGAAACUCUAGAACACAAGCUCGUAGCAUAUCCUCUAAAACUUGAUUCAAACGUUCAGUUUGACCAUCAGUCUGUGGAUGAAAGGCUGUACUGAAAUCCAAUCUCAUACCCAUAGCAGUCUGAAGUCCCUUCCAAAACUUGGAAGUAAACCGUGCAUCCCUAUCAGAAACAAUCGAUACAGGCACUCCAUGCAGUUUCACAAUCUCAGUUAAAUACAACUCUGCCCACUUACUAGCAGUAUAAGUGGAUUUUCCUGGUACAAAAUGUGCCGAUUUCGUAAGCCUGUCUAUGACAACCAAAAUCACUGUGAAACCCUUCAGGGUCUUUAGGCAGCCCUGAAAUAAAAUCCAUCGACACAUUCUCCCACUUCCACUCUGGCACACUUAAAGGUUGUAACAAACCUGUUGGUUUCUGUCUAGGUGCCUUAACCUGCUGACAUACUAGACACUUACUAACGAAUUCCGCCACUUCCCUUUUCAUAUUUUGCCACCAGUAAAAUCGUUUUAGAUCCUGAUACAUUUUCGUGCUACCAGGAUGCAUGGAAAAUGGGGAAUUAUGGGCUUCAUCUAGUAGGUCAAUCUUAACUGUACUGUUCGCUGGCACACACAAACGUCUCUCAAACAUCAACCCACCAUCAGAGGAUAUGAAGAACUCAUCAGUCUGCCCUGUUUCAACAAGGCGAUGUCUCUCCAUCAAAUAAGGAUCACUACUCUGAGCAUCAACAAUCUUCUGCUUCAGAGUCGGUUGCACCAUUAAUUGAGCUAGCUGUGAGGUGACUCUCCCCACAGACACUGCAAUCUCAGCUCUCUCCAAGUCUCGAUGCAAUGGUACCUGUCUAGUAAUGAGUGCUGCCGAAUGUGAUACUUUUCUACUAAGAGCAUCAGCCACCACAUUCGCCUUACCAGGAUGGUACAAUAUCUCGCAGUCAUAAUCUUUUACCAACUCGAGCCACCUUCGUUGACUCAUAUUCAACUCCUUCUGAGUGAAGAAGUACUUUAGGCUCUUAUGGUCAGUAAAGAUUUGUAUCUUUUCACCGUACAAGUAAUGUCUCCAUAUCUUCAAUGCAAAAACCACUGCUGCCAACUCCAAAUCAUGUGUGGGGUAGUUCUGCUCGUGAUCUUCAACUGACGAGAGGCAUAAGCAACCACCUUACCUUUCUGCAUCAAAACACAACCCAGUCCUUUCUUGGAAGCAUCACUGUAAAUCACAAAACUUCCAGAUCCAUCUGGUACAGUAAGGACCGGUGCAGUAACUAACCUUUGCUUUAAGUUCUGAAAACUGUCCUCGCAAGCUGGACUCCAAACAAACGGAGUUCCCUUCCUUGUCAACUGAGUCAAGGGAGUAGCCAAACGUGAAAAAUCCUCCACAAACCUCCGGUAGUACCCUGCUAAACCCAGAAAACUACAAACCUCACUAACUGUAGAGGGUCGAGACCAACUGGUAACCGCUUCUAUCUUUGCAGGGUCUACUGAAACUCCCUCACUAGAAACCACAUGACCAAGAAAAGCCACCUGCUUCAACCAAAAUUCGCACUUAGAGAACUUAGCAUACAGUUUAUUGACUCGAAGAGUCUCUAACACCUUAUGUAAGUGUUCCUCAUGUUCGGCUUCAGUCUUGGAAUAAACCAAAAUAUCAUCAAUGAAGACUAUCACAAAAGUGUCUAAGAAAUCCUUAAACACCCUGUUCAUCAAAUCCAUAAAUACAGCAGGUGCAUUAGUCAAACCAAAAGACAUUACUAUGAAUUCAUAAUGUCCAUACCUCGAAUGAAAAGCAGUCUUAGGAAUAUCACGGUCUCUAAUCCUCAACUGGUGAUAACUUAACCGUAAGUCAAUCUUAGAGAACACCGUGGCUCCCUGUAACUGAUCGAACAAGUCAUCAAUUCUGGGUAAAGGAUAUCUGUUCUUGACUGUUACUUUAUUCAAUGCUCUAUAGUCAAUGCAAAGACGCAUCGACCCAUCCUUCUUCUUCACAAACAAUACUGGUGCACCCCAAGGUGACACACUAGGUCGAAUAAAGCCUUUGUCAAGCAAUUCCUGUAACUGUACCUUCAGUUCUUUCAACUCAGCAGGAGCCAUCCUAUAAGGGGCUCUAGAAAUAGGAGUAGUGUCUGGCUCCAACUCAAUGGCAAAAUCAACCUCUCUAUGUGGCGGUAGUCCUGGAAGAUCUUUUGGAAACACAUCCGGGUAUUCUCUUACCACAGGUUCUGAAGUUAAAGAAGUCUCACCUUCCCUAGUAUCCACCACACUUGCCAAAAUACUCCAAGUACCCUGGUUGAGUAGUUUACUAGCUUUCAUAGCUGAGAUUACUUUAGGCAGUACUACUGUUCCUACCCCCUUGAAUUUAAAACUAGAUGCAGUAGGGGGACUGAACACAACUUCCUUACGAGAACAAUCAAUACUAGCAUGAUUAGUAGCUAGCCAAUCCAUACCUAAAAUUACAUCAAAGUCACGCAUAUCUAAUACCAACAAGGUUACGUCCAGCACACGACCAGCUAUCUCAAUUUCACAUGCUUUAAUCUUUUCCUUAGACAACAUAAAUUCUCCAGACGGUGUAAACACUGACAAAACAUAGUCUAAGAGUUCCACCUCUAAGCAUGCAUGUGUCACAAAAAGCGAUGAAAUAAAUGAAUGAGAAGAUCCCGAGUCAAACAAGGUCAAGGCAAAAUGCCCUAACACUGGUAAUGUACCUGUCACUACUGUGCCGACCUUCUCUGCCUCUGAUCUAUUAGUGGCAAAGAUUGUACCCCGCUGUGGAGGUCUCUCUCCCUGACUGCUCGAUCCAGCUCCAGUAGAUCUCAAGGGACACCUAUCAGCCAUGUGUCCCUCUUGCUUGCACUUAUAACAGACUCUCAUUCCCAUCAAACAACGACCUAGGUGGCGUUUCCCACACGUAUUGCAUAAUGGCUUCUCUCGAGUAGUGUCUCCUGCCCGCCAGAACUCUGUUGGAAAUUGCGAAAAGGAUCGCCUGGUCUCAAGUUCCUCUGAGGAACUCCCACAGUUCUCUGCUCUACUUUUCUCUUUUGACCCGAUGACGAUCCCUUAUCAAAGCUCCUUGGCCGUAUUUCAUCCUUCCCAAUGCUCAUAUUCACUGCCAGACGCAGUGCUUCAGCCUGGUUAGUGGGCUUUAGUGCUCGCACAAAGCCCCUAAUUUCAUCUCUCAAUCCCUUGACGAACCUAUCAGCUCUAGCUUGCUCAUUACUAACAAGCUCAGGGGCAAAACGUGACAGCAUAUCGAACUCCUGGUCGUACUCCUCGACUGUCAUAUAUCCUUGCUUCAACUCCAAGAAUUCCUGGCUUUUGGCGUCUCUAAGGUUAGCCGAGAAAAACUUGGUAUAGAAGCAGUCCUUAAACUGAUCCCAGGUAAUCUGCCUCACAUCUCCACCUAACAUGCGCAUAGUAGUCCUCCACCAGAUAAUGCCUCUGUCCCUCAGUAGAAAAGCAGCACACUGAACUCUGUGCUCCUCGGGACAUCUCAUGUAAUUAAAUAUGGUUUCCACAGAGGACAACCACAAUUCAGCUUUAGUAGGAUCCUCCAGUGACCCAUCAAACGUCUGAGGGUCAUAUUUCCGAAAGUCCCUCAAAUGUUUCGCCUCAGCAGAAAGUUGGUUCGGUAAUAUCUGCGGCUGUUGUGCAGCAAAUCCUUGUGCAGGAGGGGCUGCUGGUGCAGGGGGAACUACAGGUGCAGGUGGAACGACAGGUGCCUGCUGGUUCUGAGCUAUAGCCGUCAUAAGUUCUGUAAACCUCUGCUCCAUGUGAGCAGACAGUGCAUCAAACUCGACGUGAGUCACGGGUGCAGCAGGAAUUCGUUGUUCAACUUGACCCUCAGUAGGCUGAUUACGACCUGCUCCUCUACCUCGGCCUCCUGCUCCUCUACCUCGGCCUCUACGACCUCCUCUACGUACACCUUCCCUUGGCGGCAUAAUUCCUAUUAUCCACCAACAACACUCUUUAACAAAAUCUUAAUCAUAAGCAUAAGCAAGUCUUUAUCGUCAUGCAAUCUAGUUUAAUUUAGGCAAGGUCAUGCAAAUAAACCAUACAUGUAAGCAUCAAGCAUACCUGACGAGAGACGAAGGGUCGCGUUAACCAUAGGAACACAAAAACAUAGACUUACAUCGUAAGUCAGUCUACAGAACCUAAAACUUAGGCUUUGAUACCAACUGUAACGACCCAACUUCUCUAAGUAAGUCGAGAUCGUUAAUUUUUAACAAAUAAAGACUUUGAUUAAUAUAAAACAAAACGUAAGCAAUUUAAAAAAAAAAAACAUCUUCAAGUCAGGCCUGAUUUUUAAACAUUCAAGAAAACAUAAAAUAAUACUAUUUACAACAAACGUUUGUAAACUAAAUUUCAAUUCAUUUUAAACCUCACAAGAACCCAUAAGCGGAAGUAAAACACGUUUCCUAUGGCAUCACGCUUCCUUCCUGCCCCUCACCGGUUUGCCGCCUUUAUUACCUUUGCCUGAAAAUUAAACAUAAGAAGGGUGAGUAUUUAAAUACUCAGUAAGAGACCCUCUACUGGUCCCGUCAGGGGAAAAUAAAUUGUUAACAUUCUAUUGGGACACCCUGUACAGUCGCAGUCUUGUGAUCCCGUAGGAUACACAUCUCAGUCUAACGCCCCGAGGAACGUACAUAUCAGUCUAGUGUUCUGCAGAAACACAUAUCAGUCUAAUGCUUCCGAAGGUGCACAAUAAAUUGGUGAUCCCGUGGGACACCUACAAGGUACACAUCCC
rnacentral:lncRNA from 1 species